rnacentral:rRNA from 1 species
CCCUUAGAUGUUCUGGGCCGCACCCGGGCUACACUGCGAGGUUCAACAAGCUUCAUACCCUGGUCCGAUAGGAUUGGGCAAUCUUUUGAACUCCUCGCGUGAUAGGGAUAGACUAUUGCAAUUGUUAGUCUUCAACGAGGAAUUCCUAGUAAACGCGAGUCAUCAACUCGCAUUGAUUACGUCCCUGCCCUUUGUACACACCGCCCGUCGCUCCUACCGAUUGGAUGAAUCGAUGAGCCUUUCGGAGGAAAGUCGAGAAACCACUUCGGUGGUGGAUCUUCAGUCCAAAGUCAUGCAAAUCUGUUCAUCUAGAGGAAGGAGAAGUCGUAACA